rnacentral:rRNA from 1 species
GAUGAACGCUGGCGGCGUGCCUAAUACAUGCAAGUCGAGCGAACAGACGAGGAGCUUGCUCCUCUGACGUUAGCGGCGGACGGGUGAGUAACACGUGGAUAACCUACCUAUAAGACUGGGAUAACUUCGGGAAACCGGAGCUAAUACCGGAUAAUAUAUUGAACCGCAUUGUUCAAUAGUGAAAGACGGUUUUGCUGUCACUUAUAGAUGGAUCCGCGCCGCAUUAGCUAGUUGGUAAGGUAACGGCUUACCAAGGCAACGAUGCGUAGCCGACCUGAGAGGGUGAUCGGCCACACUGGAACUGAGACACGGUACAGACUCCUACGGGAGGCAGCAGUAGGGAAUCUUCCGCAAAGGGCGAAAGCCUGACGGAGCAACGCCGCGUGAGUGAUGAAGGUCUUCGGAUCGUAAAACUCUGUUAUUAGGGAAGAACAAAUGUGUAAGUAACUAUGCACGUCUUGACGGUACCUAAUCAGAAAGCCACGGCUAACUACGUG